rnacentral:lncRNA from 1 species
GGAAGAGGCAGUGCAGUUGUGGCCAUAGUUCUGGUGCUGUGCCUUGUGCUUCCAUGUGACAUGGUUGAUGCAGCCACCUUCACUGUUGGUGGUGCCAGCGGCUGGGCCUUCAAUGCUGUUGGCUGGCCUAAGGGAAAGCGUUUCAAGGCUGGUGAUGUGCUUGGUAAGUCUUUUACUCUUAAACCUAAUCUUUUUAGGUGAAAUUUUAAUAAUUUACGAAAAAUUACAGGAUAGGAAAUUAUACCUAUGUGUUUAUUAUGCAGUGUUCAACUAUAGCCCUUCGGCUCACAAUGUGGUGGCGGUGAACAAGGCCGGGUACAAUGGGUGCACCACCCCUCGAGGUUCCAAGGUGUAUCAGACAGGGAAAGAUCAGAUCAAGCUGGUGAAGGGGGCCAACUAUUUCCUCUGCAAUUUUCCUGGGCAUUGCCAAUCUGGAAUGAAGAUAGCAGUAACUGCUACUUAAUAUAUACAUAUAUAUGAAGCAAAUAAUAUGGAGUUGCAUCUCCUUCUACAUAUAUAUUGAUUCUAUCAUCAUAAUACAAGAGGCCUUGUGCUAGUUUUUAAUAUUUGUACGUGCGGUUCAACCUUAGCUAGCUAGCUCAAGUGAGAAGUGACUUUUCAGUAUCUUUAAUAUCAUAAAUAAAGUUGCAGUUGGUUGACAAUAUAUGGGUUGUUGCAUUAACUUUUUGUUUUGAGGAUGCCCUCUCUUUUUCUUUUGCUUUUUCCCUUUUUCCUUUUUAAUGUCAAAAAUUUUGAAAGAGAGAAAAUGAAAAAUAAAAAAUAAAAAAUCAUUGAGAGUGAAGUUAUAUUCUUGAGAUAUAAAAUGGGCUUGAAAGAUUACCAAAAAGGAAAAAAAUUAAGUAGUUAACUCAAUGAUCAGACUUUCACAUGGUUGAAGGGGUGCUUAGUUGAUCCCAUGUUUCAAAUAAAGAUGAUUUUCUUUCCCCACCUUUUAGGGGUAGCUGCUCCUGGGCCUUAGUUGACUCAGUCAUAGGGACAAAAGAAAAUUAAGUGUAAUUGUGAAUUGUGUGACCUUAUAAGUGGGUAGGUAAUACAUCAAAUCAAAGAGAAAUGAUUCCAUAGGGAAAGUAGUUUUUCCUAUGGUAAAUCUCUGCAUGUAAACUUCUCAAUCUGUCAAACAAAAAACAUGAAAUUUAUAAUAUAUUUUAAAAAUUGUUUUGGUAUUAAAUCAACAAUUUAAAAAAGAAUAUAUUAAAAUAGGCCAAAACAAUCCAUUUUGAAAUAUUUAUUUAUGAUAUAGUAAUAAAAAUUCUUUUAAUUUUUGGAUUAUGUGUUGUUAUUGACUACCAUUAUGGCUUUUAUACAAGUUAAAAAGAAUCAAAAGAAUUGGUGAAUUUAUAUAACAAUAUUCAUUUUGUGGUCCAAAUUUUAUUUCAACAACCCAUGAUUAUAAUCAUGACUUGAGAAAGUAUAAAUGCAUCUGCCAAAACUCUUUUUUUGUAUUCACUCUUUUAGUGAAAAUUUUAAGAUACAAAUAUCUUUUACUGAAAUCCCCAAAGUACUGUUCAACACAAAAAUACAGAUAUUUUUCCUCUUCUUCCUUCAUUCUUCUUUGGUCGGUAAUUUCUUUAACCCUAAUAAAAUUUAGUGAAAAAAGUUGUGUUUCUCACAAAUAGAAAAACAAAUAAUUAUAUACAAUAAUGUUACAAGUGAAAAUAUAUGGUUUUUAUACAUUUAUUUUUUUCAUUUCUUCUCACAUUUUUGGGGUUGGAGGAAAAGGUCUUUAUUGUUAUCAUUUUUCAUGUAUGUCCUCACUCGAUGACAAAACUUGUUUUUUAUUUAUAAAAAAUUGAUUUUUAAAUAUACAACAAAACAAUGGUAAUGAGGAGCAAAAAAUAAAAGAACAUUCAUAGUAGAGCAUGCAUAUCAAAGGAAUCAAACAAGGAAGGAAGGAAGAGAAUGUACCUCAAUAAUGCCUAAAACAGGGCAAGGCUC